CUUGACUUGAAUCUGAGACUCAGGGCUGCAGAAGCAUCUGAAGCUGCAGAUCUCCAGAUGCAGAAUGGAGACCCUUCUUGCCGUGUUUAAAGAGCAUUUCAGAAUACACACAGAGACAGGCAACAUCUGGACACAUCUCUAAGCAAUGAAAACCUAAAAUUGCAUGUCUGUAAGUGGGCCUCCAGAGCCCAGUGCAACAAGGAGCCCCACAGCCCCUUCCGGCCACACAGAACUUCCCAGGGUGAGGAGAGGAAGCACAGCAGGGCGCCCUGGUGUCCAGGAGGAGGAAGAAAAGGGUCCCCAAAGGUGGGGCGUCCAGCGGAGGAAUCCUGCGUGGUGCUGACGCGGAGGGAUUGGCCGCAUGGUCACUUCCUGUGAGAUGCUGCGGCCCUGCACCCUCAGUCAGUGAAGAGCCAGUGGAGAAAGAGGACAAGUCACUGGGUUCUCCAGAGAACUGUUCUCUUGCAAGAGAUGCUCUGCGGGUUCCGGCUCCGGGAGAGGACGUAAGGGCUCAUGGACUCCAGCUGAAAAUCAUCCUGCCUGCUGUCCACCUGCCCCCCACCUGGGGAGGGUCUCUCAGUGGCUGCCAUGGUGGACAUGGG